UGUCAUAAAGCAGCCUCCCUUGUCAUAGCUUGUUCAAUGCGGACCAUCGCUUCACGGAGGACGGGAAGUCUGUCUUUCAUUUCCCCUCAGCACUGGGCCCGGAACACGGGAGACACUGGUGCACGGCCCAGCCGCCGAGCCUCCUCCGGCGGCGGCCCCGCUCCCCGCCGCUGGGGCUGGGCUCGGGCGUCCGCAGCAUCCGCUCGCAACUUCGUCCCGGUCCCGGCGGAACCAGCUCCCCGGGGCCCG